rnacentral:rRNA from 1 species
UACGUAGGGUGCGAGCGUUGUCCGGAUUUAUUGGGCGUAAAGGGUGCGUAGGCGGCCUGACAAGUCUGAUGUGAAAUCCCUGGGCUCAACCCAGGGCCUGCAUCGGAAACUGUCGGGCUUGAGUAUGGGAGAGGUGAGUGGAAUUUCCGGUGUAGCGGUGAAAUGCGUAGAUAUCGGAAGGAACACCUGUGGCGAAAGCGGCUCACUGGACCAUUACUGACGCUGAGGCACGAAAGCUAGGGGAGCAAACAGG